ACAAUGGAGUUUGAGACUCACUGUAUGUCAUUUCCAUGUACUGAACUCUUGUUAUUUAACUAUGGCAAGAUAAAUUCAAUUUUUUAUUCGAGGGCACCUUUAAGUUAAAAUGUUUACAUUUGCUUGAACUGGCUGCAUUUGAACAUCAAUCAACACUCAAGAAAAUGUUAGUAUUGCAUUUAGGUAAAAAGAAAAUGACUCCCAAAGGCCAGAGGGUAUGUGGGCUGGGGUGGCAGCCACCCUGUUAAGCUCUGCCUCUGGUCACUCUGGUACGCCGCCUCAUCCUCUUCUGUGUCAGGCCGGCCGGGCUGAACCACUUACUCCACUGGACUGGGUCUGUCCUUUGAGAGGUCACUGAGUUAGAAGGCAUUCACCUGUGCUUUGGCUGAAGAGGUAUUCCAAGCCAGAGCAGCAGAGGUUUGGAAAUUCUCCCCAACAAUUUCUCCAGCAGCAGGUAUUGAGCCGUUCGAUCAGUGAACGGUUCCUGUAACCCUGUUCAUUGUUGGCCUCUACCAGCAGGAAUGCAUGGCGAAGCAGACAGGCAAAUGGCAGCUCUCUUGGAGGAGGUGGAGUCAAAACAUGGGUCCUAAAGCUGACAUAAUCUCCUUCUCAAUACCUUCUCCAUGGUGUUCCCUUCAGUUCAGUCCUACCAUACCACAUUCUUGUCCACACCACACCUGUGUGUUAAUUUGUAUGCCAACAGAGGCUACUGCUACUAAUUUAAAGAAAGCGGACACCAAUGUUCAGUAUAAUCGCCUAUGUGUAGCAGGGAACAUGGCUUAGUGAGCCUCACUGAGUUGGCACAGGAUAGCAGGAUGCCAUGCCAACCAACAACCCACCAUGCCACCUUCACUGCUCCUGCCUGCUUUGGUGGACUAUCCACAGCACAGUAUCUCUGUCAGCAUGGAAUACCUGUUUGAUACGUUGCAGAUAUGACAAACCUGUGAUAUCAAAAACCUUAGUAGGCUGUUCACAGUGGAAAAAGUAGCACAUUAUUACAUCUGUGAAUGUAUUUGGAUAAAAAUUAAUAAUAUAAAAUAAUCUGUUGCACUGCAACUCUAUCAAGAGCCUAUAUAGUUAAAAAUGUCAUACCUUGGUGACUUGUAGAGGUACAUGUCCUUUCCGUUACCCACGCAUUUGUCACCAUGAGGACAUCUCAGCGAGUAUCUCCAUACCCCAGCAGGCCGCCAGACAAGGAUACAACUCUGAAAGAAGAGAUGGCACAGUGCCACUAACAUUUCCCAGAGAUUCCGGAGGGUAAAUCCACAUUCCAUCUGAUUUCAUUACCCAUCGCCUCUUCAUUGCACCGGCGCUGUCAUGGUACACCUGAAUGUGGGUGAAGAGCCCUCUCUCUGUGUCAUCUUUUACCCAUGAGAGGUCAGCUGGUGAAAUUCCAAUUAGCAUUUUCCCACAGGUGCACCCGACCCUCCAGCUCAACCUUUAAAAAUGUCAAAACGGUAUAAUACAUUCUCACUCCAAUAAUAAUCAUUCAUGUUUGAUAACUUUGCAUAUAAUAUGAAUAUUACUCAACAAAGAGUCACUCAGACGUGGUUCUACAGAAGAAACAUGACUCAUGACAGAGACUCCUUGUGCUUGAGCUUACAAACAGAAUUAUUAAUUAAUAUGCAUGUGGAUGUCAUUGAUGUGGCAGAGAACAUCAAUACAUGACAGUGGAACAUUGCAACAGUAGACUGUGACUCAAUCACCUCUAAGAAAUGAGUGUCAUCCAGCCAUUAAUGAUCAUUGAUGGAGGAGCUUAACAUCUGUGUACCAAACAUAUAACACAAGUACAUGCAGCUACCAGCAGACACAGCUGUGCGCCUUCUGGAUCAAAUCCCUCUGACUACUGCUGAAAUCAUCUGGCCUGUCCUUCAGCGCAGAAUACUGGCUGUAGAGCUCCUGAAAGGCAAAGACUGCAGCAGAGAGGGCAGACUUGAACAGGGCUUACUUUGGGUGGUGAUCCGUCUGAACGGCCGCAUCAAAUCGAUGGAUCCAAUGAAAGACAUCGAGCCGUACCAGCAUACCCCCAUCUGUCCACUCACUGAAGAGCUGUUCCAAGCCAUAGACAUGACAGCAGCCACGGUCUAUAUACAUGAAUGAGUUCAGGAGGUGCCUCACCAUCUCUUCUGUACCUCUGCAUGAGGCCUUCAGCCAUCGAGCGCAUUUUGUCCACUGAUUCCUCACUGGUCAGGACAGAUGAGGAUCUGACCCAGCUCAUUUGCCACAUUGGUGCACCAUUCUGCAGUGCCUUUUCCGUCUCCAGAAAGUUAAUUGCAGAUCUGAUAAUGAAUACAAAACAAAGAAAUUCAAACAUUUAUAAUCUGUUUAUUUUCUUCACAGUGUUGACUUAUUAGUUUAGUCAGUUAUUGAUAUUUAUUAAUGAUUAAGUUUUUCUAUUAUGCAUGAGUACAGAAAUCUUCCUCUGCCGUGAACAAUAAUCCCUGCUAAAUUCAUGUGACUAUGUUUACAAUCAGACAUUUUUGCAUUAGUAAGACUGUUAAAUUCACCUUCUUGGUGGAGUCACACUUUAAGACUUUCCCAAAAGUGGACAUGAUCUGUGUUUGGUAGCCCUCAAUGUUUUAAGCUUCAGCAAUAAGAAAGGCCUUUUAGUCUUUGCCUAAACAUUUAAGAAAACUCUGUUAACUCUGUCUGACUUGUGAUCUUCCCAGUUUUUUUUGUACUGGCUGAGGAGGGUGGUGAAUACGUCUUUCCUUUGUAGGUCCUCCUUGCAGUGGUUCUCCGGGACCUGUCUCCAUACCUUGGUCAUGGUGUUGCCCUCAGUGCGAUCCCUCAUCAGGCGGAUCACCUGCUUGUCCACACCACACCUAAAAUUAAAGCACAAUCAUUGGAUGGCUGCGAAACGUAGAUAUUUUUUACUAGUGGAAAAAAAAAAAAAAAAAGAAGAAAUUAUUGUGAAAUUAUGCAGAGACUCACCAUAAUGUUAACACAGCUCUGUAAGCUGGACUGAGCUGGUCGAUGAUGCAUGCAUCCCAUGACGGGAAACGACCAGUGGUGUGUUCCUCUGACUCCUUGGCAGCCUUUAUGCAUGCAUUACAUGCCAGGACCUCAGUCAGCAUGGAGUACCAGCCGGACAUGUGGCAGAUCUGUCUGACCGUAUGGGAGUAGCCACAACGGUACAGAAAAGCUUUCUGAUUAGAACGGGCAGGGCAGUCAGACCUUGGACAGCACAGAUUGUAACGCCACACUCCAACUGGUCUCUAGAAAAAAAAAAUGGCUGUUGUAAAAGGAGUCUGCUGAGGAGACUUUCCCCUUCCACCACUCCAGGAAAUUCAGGAGGAUGAAACCACAUCCUGUCAUCCUUCAGGACUUUCCUCCACCUUGUGUUGCCAUACUUGUCUUUAUAAGACAUUG